CCUCUCAUUGUCUCCACCCCAUACCCAUACAUGCAAGCCUCCCCCCCCCAGUGAGGUAGCCUAUCACUAACACACAGAGCAGGCAUCAGGUACACUACCCAUGACGCCAAGCAACCAGCCACACCCCCACGGGCACGCAGCAGUACUUAAUAUUGGGCCAUAAGCGGAAGCUUGACCUAAUAAUGGGGUACAUAGGGCCGGUUAAUCUCGUGCCAGCGACCGCGGUUACACGACAGACCCAAGACAAUGUCACCGGCGUAAAGCACGACUAAAAAACAGUCACCACAUUAGGACUGAGGACAAGCCAGGCUGUAAAAAGCCAUAAGCCCCACAAAUCACCAUUCCUAACAAACUAAACUACUUCAACUCGUGAAAGCAAGGACACAAACUAAGAUUAGAUACCUUACUAUGCCCCGCCGUAACACAGCAAUCAAAUAACCCAUUGCUCGCCAAAUAACUACGAGUGAAAACUUAAAAUUUAAAAGACUUGACGGUACUUCACAACAACCUAGAGGAGCCUGUCCAAUAACCGAUAAUCCACGAUUAACCCCACCCGUUUUUGCCCAUCAGUCUAUAUACCGCCGUCGCCAGCUUGCCUUGUGAAAGAAACAAAGCAAGCCAAACAGCACCACGCUAACACGACAGGUCGAGGUGUAACAAAUAAACGGGUUAAAGAUGGGCUACAUUUUCUUAAUCAGAAAACACGAAUAAAGUGUGAAACAACAACCUGAAGGCGGAUUUAGCAGUAAGAUUAAAAUAGAAUAUUCACCUGAAACCAAUGCAAUGAAGUGCGUACACACCGCCCGUCAUCCCUGUAGAACACCACUAAAAUCCAUAAUACUACACUCUUCUAAAGCAGGGCAAGUCGUAACACGGUAAGCGUACUGGAAAGUGUGCUUA
rnacentral:ncRNA from 1 species